CUACAUGAUGAUUUACUACAUUUUUAUCACGACGGUCAACAUAAGGAAUUUCCAAUUGAUGACCACCGCCUGUGACAGGGCUUUGAAUCUGAUC
rnacentral:snoRNA from 1 species